AUUGAACGCUGGCGGCAGGCCUAACACAUGCAAGUCGAGCGGAGCGGCGGACGGGAGAGUAAUGCCUAGGAAUCUGCCUGGUAGUGGGGGAUAACGUACGGAAACGGGCGCUACUACCACAUCCUAUCAGAUGAGCCUCGGUCGGAUUAGCUUGUUGGUGGGGUAAAGGCCUACCAGGGCGACGAUCCGUAACUGGUCUGAGAGGAUGAUCAGUCACACGGGGACUGAGACACGGUCCAGACUCCUACGGGAGGCAGCAGUGGGGAAUAUUGGACAAUGGGCGCAAGCCUGAUCCAGCCAUGCCGCGUGUGUGAAGAAGGUCUUCGGGUUGUAAAGGACUUUAAGUAGGGAGGCGUUACCAACAGAAUAAGCACCGGCUAACUUCGUGCCAGCAGCCGCGGUAAUAC
rnacentral:rRNA from 1 species